GACGAACGCUGGCGGCGUGCCUAAUACAUGCAAGUUGAGCGAUGAAGAUUGGUGCUUGCACCAAUUUGAAGAGCAGCGAACGGGUGAGUAACGCGUGGGGAAUCUGCCUUUGAGCGGGGGACAACAUUUGGAAACGAAUGCUAAUACCGCAUAACAACUUUAAACAUAAGUUUUAAGUUUGAAAGAUGCAAUUGCAUCACUCAAAGAUGAUCCCGCGUUGUAUUAGCUAGUUGGUGAGGUAAAGGCUCACCAAGGCGAUGAUACAUAGCCGACCUGAGAGGGUGAUCGGCCACAUUGGGACUGAGACACGGCCCAAACUCCUACGGGAGGCAGCAGUAGGGAAUCUUCGGCAAGGGACGAAAGUCUGACCGAGCAACGCCGCGGGAGGGAAGAAGGUUUUCGGAUCGUAAAACUCUGUUGGUAGAGAAGAACGUUGGUGAGAGUGGAAAGCUCAUCAAGUGACGGUAACUACCCAGAAAGGGACGGCUAACUACGUG
rnacentral:rRNA from 1 species